GGUUGCGUGGCGCAAUGGUAGCGCGUUACUUUCCGGUAACGGAUCAGCUGGUAAAGGUUCUGGGUUCGAAUCCCAGCGUGAUCG